rnacentral:rRNA from 1 species
ACGAACGCUGGCGGCAUGCCUAACCCAUGCAAGUCGAACGAGGCCUUCGGGUCUAGUGGCGCACGGGUGCGUAACGCGUGGGAACCUGCCCUUAGGUUCGGAAUAACUCCCCGAAAGGGGUGCUAAUACCGGAUAAUGUCUUCGGACCAAAGAUUUAUCGCCUUUGGAUGGGCCCGCGUUGGAUUAGCUAGUUGGUAGGGUAAAAGCCUACCAAGGCGACGAUCCAUAGCUGGUCUGAGAGGAUGAUCAGCCACACUGGGACUGAGACACGGCCCAGACUCCUACGGGAGGCAGCAGUGGGGAAUAUUGGACAAUGGGCGAAAGCCUGAUCCAGCAAUGCCGCGUGAGUGAUGAAGGCCUUAGGGUUGUAAAGCUCUUUUACCCGGGAUGAUAAUGACAGUACCGGGAGAAUAAGCUCCGGCUAACUCCGUG